AAUAUUGCGCAAUGGAGGAAACUCUGACGCAGCGACGCCGCGGGAGCGAUGACGGUCUUCGGAUCGUAAAGCUCUGUCCCUGGGGAGGAAGAUCGAUUGAUUUGACGGUACCCGAGGAGGAAGCCCCGGCUAACUACCGGCCAGCAGCCGCGGUAAUACGUAGGGGGCAAGCGUUGUCCGGAAUUAUUGGGCGUAAAGGGUGCGUAGGCGGCUUUUUAAGUCAGAGGUGAAAGACCACGGCUUAACCGGGGGGUUGCAUUUGAAACUGGAAGGCUUGGGUAUCGGAGAGGGUAGUGGAAUUCCCAGUGUAGGGGUGGAAUGCGUAGAUAUUGGGAGGAACACCAGUGGCGAAGGCGACUACCUGGACGAAAACUGACGCUGAUGCACGAAAGCUAGGGGAGCAAACAG
rnacentral:rRNA from 1 species